rnacentral:tRNA from 1 species
CGCGGGAUGGAGCAGUUCGGUAGCUCGUCGGGCUCAUAACCCGAAGGACGGUGGUUCAAAUCCGCCUCCCGCAA